GUCAGGAUGGCCGAGCGGUCUAAGGCGCCAGACUCAAGGUUGUUGUAUACUUUCUCAGUUCUUCGCUGAGUUUCUGGGCAUUCUGGUCCUCUCUGAGGGCGUGGGUUCGAAUCCCACUUCUGACA
rnacentral:tRNA from 1 species